UAGUGAUAAAACUUCUAGAUGGAUCAUUGCUUUAGUGAAGCUGUACGAACUCGGAGGUAUUUUUCUAUGCAAAUAUAUAUAUAUAUCCAGUGAAUUUGAAAGCGUUGUGCAAUCAAACACGUGCCAAUUAAAUUGAAGUUCUGGUGGAUUGUAUUAUUCGGUUUGGUUUAAAGAAGACAAGAGGACUGGGAAUCUUACUACGUUCGACCUCGGGAAAGAGAAAAAGUACCAACUGACCCCUCCAAUAACGAAGUCGUCAAAGUCCAUCGAUUUCUUAGUAGAUCUGGGAAAGGCCUCGGAUUUCCCAGGAACCAGCAUCUACAUAAACCCACGAUAACUACAACCAAAUAAACUAGCAAAAGCCGUCCGAAGAUAUACUAGAGUGAAAUUUGAAGUUAUGUGGAGGCAUACUUAAACUGAUGUACUUCUUGGAGUAAGACGACAAGAAUGGUUUUCUUGCGAAUUCGGAGAAACUAAUAUGCCGCACUCGUCACCCUUCUCGCUUACGAGUUAAGCGCGCGGCUAAAGCUUUCGCACGUAGUUUCUUCGUUGUGUGUGUAGUGAUUUCCAAACUGGGGAAAUAAAAACAUUAUUCUGCUGCGAUCCA